rnacentral:rRNA from 1 species
UACGUAGGGUGCAAGCGUUGUCCGGAAUUAUUGGGCGUAAAGAGCUUGUAGGCGGUUUGUCGCGUCUGCUGUGAAAAUCCGAGGCUCAACCUCGGACUUGCAGUGGGUACGGGCAGACUAGAGUGUGGUAGGGGAGACUGGAAUUCCUGGUGUAGCGGUGGAAUGCGCAGAUAUCAGGAGGAACACCGAUGGCGAAGGCAGGGCUCUGGGCCACUACUGACGCUGAGAAGCGAAAGCAUGGGGAGCGAACAGG